GGGGUAUAUCGGAUUACCGACUGCGGCCGCUUUUGCUUCCCGCCAGAAGCAGGUUAUCGGCGUGGAUAUCAACCAACAUGCGGUAGACACCAUAAAUCGCGGUGAAAUUCACAUCGUGGAGCCGGCGUUGGGCAAUGUGGUGAAGAUGGCGGUGGAAGGCGGCUUUCUGCGUGCGACGACGACACCUGUCGAGGCCGAUGCGUACCUGAUUGCCGUGCCGACGCCAUUCAAAGGCGAUCACGACCCUGACAUGGCCUAUGUGGAAGCCGCGGCGAAAUCCAUUGCGCCGGUAUUAAAAAAAGGGGCACUGGUGAUUCUGGAAUCAACAUCGCCGGUCGGCGCAACGGAGCAAAUGGCUGGCUGGCUGGCCGGGAUGCGCCCGGAUCUGACCUUUCCCCAGCAGGCGGGCGAGCAGGCCGACGUGAAUAU
rnacentral:misc_RNA from 1 species